GACGAACGCUGGCGGCGUGCUUAACACAUGCAAGUCGAACGGAAAGGCCCUGCCUUUGUGGGGUGCUCGAGUGGCGAACGGGUGAGUAACACGUGAGUAACCUGCCUUUGACUUUGGGCCAACUUCAGGAAACUGGGGUUAAUACUGGUAAGGUGCUCCUCCUGCAUGGUGGUGGUUGGAUAGUUUGGGUGGUUGGGGAUGGACUCGCGGCUUAUCAGCUUGUUGGUUGGGUAGUGGCUUACCAAGGCUUUGACGGGUAGCCGGCCUGAGAGGGGGACCGGCCACAUUGGGACAGAGAUACGGCAGGGACUACUACGGGAGGCAGGAGUAGGGAAUAUUGCACGAUGGACGGAAGCCUGAUGAAGCAACGCCGCGUGCUGGAUGACGGCCUUCGGGUGGUAAACCGUUUUCGCAUGUGACGGAGCGUAAGUGACGGUAAUGGGUGAAGAAGCACCGGCUAACUCCGUG
rnacentral:rRNA from 1 species